AUUUCACCUGCGCCGGAUACUCGCCUGUAAAGUUGAUGCGCGUGGCGCGUCGCGCAAGCCCAAAAACUCAAAACGCUCCAGAAUCGUAUAAGCGCGUGUUUGCUGCAUUCUACCAGAAUCAGAGUACAUGUUGGUGGGGGAGUGCAAAAAACGACAAGGCUCCGGGUAAUUAGAUCACCUCUUAGAGAGUCUUUGGGCAGCCACGUGUGAAGUGAAGUGCAACGCAAGGAAGCAAGCAAGCAAGCAAGAUUUUGACCAAUAAGUCCCUAAAUACCACCCAAAGUAAUUCAACACAUUCCAACGGAAACUUCUGACACUCUGAAGUCUACCAAACUAAAAGAACAGCAGCCCAACUCCUAACUAUAGCGUAGCCCUAUCCUAAAGUACAUGUGUCUACGUGCGUCUUUCUAUGUGCAGUGCAUAUCACUGGGUGGUGAUCCUGAAUCUAUCCAAGAAGAAGGGCCAGAAAAAGAAGUGAAGAAGGCAAAAGAGCUUGAAUAAUAAGUAGUUUGUGCAAGAAGUUUUCAAUUUAAUUAGUGUUCAUCAGCAGCAGUAGCAGCCUCACCAAGUCUGUGUGGUCGAUCUCAAUAGAAGACGACGACGUUCUAAAAAUUCCAACACCCUCACAGAGAGGGGUGUUUCCGCUGAAAAGGGCAAUCAGAAAACGAGGAAAAUUGAGGAGGGGCAAGUGAGCCUAGCAUAUUUUCCGGUGUUAAUGCAAUCAGGCUACCGAAAUAAUAAUAGUUGGUAUAUCGGGGAGUGAGAGUGCAGCGCAAAAAAAACGUGAAGCGAAACCCGAGAGCAUUGGAGCAACCAAAAAUUCCUCGACAGUUUGAAGGGCUUUGCGAUUGCGGGGAAUUUCGGUGGCAGAAGCAAGCAGUUUGCAGCGGUUCCUCCCA